UGGGCUCUAGCUCAGUGGUACAGCACUUGCCUAGCAUUUGUGCAAAGUCCCAGGUUCAAUCACUGGUACCAA
rnacentral:tRNA from 1 species